UACGGAGGGGGCAAGCGUUACUCGGAAUUAUUGGGCGUAAAGGGCGCGUAGGUGGUCGCGUGCGUCGGGGGUGAAAUCCCCGGGCUCAACCCGGGAACUGCGUCCGAUACUGGAAGGCUUGAAUCCGGGAGAGGGAUGCGGAAUUCCAGGUGUAGCGGUGAAAUGCGUAGAUAUCUGGAGGAACACCGGUGGCGAAGGCGGCAUCCUGGACCGGCAUUGACGCUGAGGCGCGAAAGCCAGGGGAGCAAACGGG
rnacentral:rRNA from 1 species